AACGAACGCUGGCGGCGUGCCUAACACAUGCAAGUCGAGCGGGAAAGUUCCCUUCGGGGAGCGAGUACAGCGGCGAACGGGUGAGUAACACGUAGGCAACCUACCCUGGAGAUUGGGAUAACCUGCCGAAAGGCGGGCUAAUACCAGAUAAGACCACGAGGGCUGCGGCCCUUGAAGGAAAAAGAUGGCCUCUGCUUGCAUGCUAUCGCUCCGGGGAUGGGGCCUGCGCGCCANAGCUAGUUGGUGAGGUAACGGCUCACCAAGGCCGAGAUGGCUAGCUGGUCUGAGAGGAU
rnacentral:rRNA from 1 species